CUUUCGCUCGUCCCCCCUUUCAUCACAGUGUUCUAACUUGCUCUCAUCUGUUUUUGACACUGAAAUUGAAAAAAAAAAAAUCAAUGUACAAACAUUGCCUGUGAAAGGUAUCAGAUGACCUUUUAUCCCUGAACCUUUUUUAAAAUUUUUUCUUUAUGCUAACUAUUUGAUGUCAAAGUGUUACAUUUUUUUGUAGUCUUCCUUUCAUCUUUUUGUUUCGGAGGAAUUGCUUUCACCGACCCCUGGACGGCGUAUCUGGAAAGUGGCUGAGUGGAAUAUGGGAGCAAAAGGACAAGAAAGACAGGAAAGACUCUCAGGGAGGAGAGACUCCGCCUGCAGCGACCGCUUCACUCUGCAUGGGCCACCAUCCCUAUCUGGAUCACCUUUACUACGGUCUUCAUCCAGAUUAUCCUCUUCUCUACUUCCUCCUUCUCCACUCGGACCAGACUUGCCCCUCAAAUGCUUUGCUAAAGCUGGUAAAAUGGAACCAAAUCAACUGUUCAAUGGAUUUGGUCCCCUUCAACCAGCUGUAGCUGUGCAUUGAUCACUCCGAACAUCUGAACACACACUUGCAGAGGGAAAAACAAAUGGACAGAGAAGCGGCGGAAAGACUCGAGCUAAUUCAGUGGAAAACAGCUUUAAAAUCUAAAACUGAGGCUACAUUUGCUUCUUUAUUGGACUGAGACACAGAAAGUCAUCCAUGGAUAAUACACAGCAUGCACCAGUUACUGCGUGGAUUUAUCUCUAUCACACAGAUUACCCAAAAGACACUGAAGUCAUUUGUUUAAUCUGAAUAAAACAAGUCAGGUAAGUAAUUAUAGAUACUGUAUCUUGGUAAAUUUGUACUUUUAUUGUGUACUGCUAUAAUUGCAUCGUCCUUUGGAGACUAUUUUUUUAUUAUUCUUUGCAGAUUUUUUUUUUUUAAAAGUGCGUAUGUUUGCUGAACAGUGUAAAAACUGAUGCAGUGUAAGAAAAGCACUGGUGCGUAUGUGAGGGUGCAUGCAUGUAUGUGUGUGUCACCAACUGCUAAUGCACACGUCUGAUCAAUAAAACCUAAUGUGAAGUUCAUAUAAA